rnacentral:rRNA from 1 species
UACGUAGGGCGCGAGCGUUGUCCGGAAUUAUUGGGCGUAAAGAGCUCGUAGGCGGCCUGUUGCGUCCGCUGUGAAAUCCCGGGGCUCAACCCCGGGCUUGCAGUGGAUACGGGCUGGCUAGAGGCAGGCAGGGGAGAACGGAAUUCCCGGUGUAGCAGUGAAAUGCGCAGAUAUCGGGAGGAACACCGGUGGCGAAGGUGGUUCUCUGGGCCUGUACUGACGCUGAGGAGCGAAAGCGUGGGGAGCGAACAGG